AGCUUUGCUCAGUGGCGAUAUCGUAACCAAUGAGGUACAUCCGAGGUGCGAUUAUUGCUAGUUGAAAACUAACAACUCGCAAGCAGAUCGGUCGAACCUAUAUUUGAUCCGAUACAGGUGUUUUUGACGUAGGAUUACGUCU